UACGAAGGGGGCUAGCGUUGCUCGGAAUCUCUGGGCGUAAAGCGCACGUAGGCGGCUUCUUAAGUCAGGGGUGAAAUCCUGGAGCUCAACUCCAGAACUGCCUUUGAUACUGAGGAGCUUGAGUCCGGGAGAGGUGAGUGGAACUGCGAGUGUAGAGGUGAAAUUCGUAGAUAUUCGCAAGAACACCAGUGGCGAAGGCGGCUCACUGGCCCGGUACUGACGCUGAGGUGCGAAAGCGUGGGGAGCAAACAGG
rnacentral:rRNA from 1 species